rnacentral:RNase_P_RNA from 1 species
GAAGCGGGCCAGACCGCCGCCGGUGCAAGGCCCGAAAGGGCGCACUGGAGGAAGGUCCGGACUGCACAGGGCGGCGUAGCAGUUAACGGCUGUCCACCGUGAGGUGAGGAUCAGAGCAACAGAGACGAGCCGAUUCAGUUCGGGUGAAACGGGCAAUCUCUACGCGCAGCAACACCGAAUAGGCACACGCCGGGCGGCGCGGCAGCGACCGUGGCGUCCAGAACCCCGGCCCGGGGCGAGUGUGCGGGUAGGUGGCAUCGAGCCGCGCAGCGAUGCGCGGCCCAGAGGAAUGGCGGUCACGGCCGGUACUUCGCAAGAAGCGCCGGCCGCACAGAAUCCGGCCUAUCGGCCCGCUUCACAC